GGCAUCCUUUACAUUCUCCAUGGACAAGUACCAGUACACACCAAUCAUACUAGGGGUGCUUCUUCGGUAGCCAUGUAGUGCAAUGCAGAAUCGAUUUCCCGGAUGGGAUCUGCAUCAGGCAACCCUGCGAAUCAAGUGUGGACGGCAUACAAGGAAUGUUUCUGCUGUAGAUCAGCAGGCCAUCGCUAUUGGACAAUGGAAGAAUGCCAUAGUAUAGAUGUGGACGGCAGCCGGGUGCACCACCCUCAGUCUAAUGUAAUAAUUGGAUGUUUUUUUUUUGAAGCGAUACAACUUGGUCCUUCGCCAUGAUCUAAAAGAAACAGUUUCCCCCCAUCAGUUGGGAGUUAAGUUUA